CAUCUACUCCCUCCGUCCGAAAAUACUUGUCAUCAAAAUGGACAAAAUCUAGAUACAUCUCUUUUUACUCAUUUUGAUGACAAGUAUUUCCGGACGGAGGGAGUACUUG
rfam:Triticum aestivum genome assembly, contig: Triticum_aestivum_CS42_TGACv1_scaffold_288580_4AL